AAAACUACGCUUUCAGGAAUCCUUUCUUCAAUUCAUUACUAGAGGUUUCUCUUAAUGUGUAGAGCACCAGAAACCACCAAGAGACCCAGUCUGCUCUCUCUGGAACAUGAAGCCAGCCCUUGGUGUUGCUUGGCUACAACUGCCCUUCAUCAUUGAAAAUUGUUCUCUCCCUCAGGAAAAGUGAGAGAGAAAGAAGGAAGUCAGCAUGGU
ensembl:snoRNA U3 Small nucleolar RNA U3